UACAGAGGUCUCAAGCGUUGUUCGGAUUCAUUGGGCGUAAAGGGUGCGUAGGUGGCGAGGUAAGUUGGAUGUGAAAUCCCGGGGCUCAACCCCGGAACUGCAUUCAAUACUGCCUUGCUGGAGUACUGGAGAGGAGAUUGGAAUUUACGGUGUAGCAGUGAAAUGCGUAGAUAUCGUAAGGAAGACCAGUGGCGAAGGCGAGUCCCUGGACGAUACCUGACACUGAGGCACGAAAGCUAGGGGAGCAAACAGG
rnacentral:rRNA from 1 species